rnacentral:rRNA from 1 species
UACGUAGGGGGCAAGCGUUGUCCGGAAUCAUUGGGCGUAAAGAAGCGUGUAGGCGGCCCGGUAAGUCCGCUGUGAAAGUCCAGGGCUCAACCCUGGGAUGCCGGUGGAUACUGUCGGGCUCGAGUCCGGAAGAGGAGUGUGGAAUUCCUGGUGUAGCGGUGAAAUGCGCAGAUAUCAGGAGGAACACCAAUGGCGAAGGCAGCACUCUGGGACGGUACUGACGCUGAGACGCGAAAGCAUGGGGAGCGAACAGG